rnacentral:misc_RNA from 1 species
AUUGUAGGUUUUACGCCCCCCUCUUUUUCACGACUCGUAUAUUAAAGUUCAUAUUUUCCAAUUUUGCUUUCCAUAUUCCUGAAAUUUUAGAGUAUAGAAAGAGCAAAUAGUAAUUAAAUUCAGCUUCGUUUCUCUACAACUCAUACAUGUGUCCUAGUAAUACUAACAGUAGUUGUAGUAGUACUAAGAUUUAAACUUAAAGACCAAUGAAGAAUUUGAAGUUAAUAUAUGUGACACAGGUAGAACAUAAAACAUUAAAAUGUGAUGAGGUGAGCAAAGUUUGUGUCAACUCUGAGAGUCAUGUUGUGUAUAUUGUCAGUAAGGAAAAUCUUUAUGCUGUAUCAGCUGAAACUGGUGAGUUUCAGUUUUUAACAUCACUGGAACCUGGAAUAGUUGUUGCUUUUACAUACUUAUAUGAACAACAGUCUCUCUGCAUUGCUAUGGAAAAUGGAAAUUUGUUUCUUGUGAACAUAUUCACAAAGGCAGUUGAAUGUGUUGGUUUUGUGCAAGGUGGGCUGCUUGCAACAAGUUGGAGUCCUGACCAAGAAAUUAUUAUCUUUUUAACAGCUCAAGGUACUUUGGUUCUGAUGACAAAAGAUUUUGACACAGUUCUGGAAAAAAGCCUGCAUUCAAAGGAGUUGGGUGAAAUUCAACCAGUAACAGUUGGUUGGGGAUCAAAAGAGACUCAAUUCCAUGGAUCAGAAGGAAAACAAGCAGCAAAACUUCAACAACAGACUACACAGCAUGUGCUCACUUGGGAUGAUAGGCAAACUCGCAUCAGUUGGAGAGGAGAUGGACAGUUUUUUUGUACUUCUUUUAUUGAUCCAGAAAAAGGGUGCAGGAAGUUAAAUAUAUGGAACAGAGAAGCUGUACUUCAGUACACUGCUGAGGAAGUUGAUGGCUUAGAACAUCCAUUGGAUUGGAGGCCAUCUGGUAACCUCAUAACUUCUUCACAGACAAAGCUAAACAAACAUGACAUUGUCUUUUUUGAAAAGAAUGGCCUUCGACAUGGAGAAUUCACUCUUCCAUUUCCUCCAGGAUCUUUCAAGAUUAAAGAAGUCUUAUGGAAUUCAGAGUCUACAAUAUUAACCAUUUGGGGUCAGCUAAUACAAGAGAAAAAUGGUUACAAUGAACACAGAAUAUUACUGUGGACAACCAGCAACUAUCAUUGGUAUUUAAAACAAAGCCUCAGCUUUAACAAAUAUCAUGUGACAGCGGUCUUAUGGGAUGUAAUAGACCCAUACAUGCUUCAUGUGACUUGUUCUGGCGGACAUUACCUUUGCUACAAAUGGACCUGGAUGGUUAACCACAGCAAGAGCUACUCAUCCGAUGAUAAUGCGUGUGUUGCUGUUAUUGAUGGGGCUCAUCUAAAGGUGACACCAUUUCGUCAAACAGUCAUUCCCCCACCAAUGUGUGCAUAUGAGUUAGAAUUUCCAGAUACUAUAUCCCAGGUUGUUUUUCCCCCCAAAAUUGCAAGCAACUACGACAUGCUUGUAGUUUUAUCAGAUGGAAGAAUAGCUCUGUGUAAUAAGAAGGACAGCUCUACUACUCAGGAAGACUGUUGUGUAAUUGUAAAAAAUGCAGGACAAAAUGGCUUUAAGAAGCAGGGUCUUGUACACUGUGUGACCAGCUUAUUCAGGGUUCAGUGGAGUGAUAAUAUCAAUGUUCCAUUGAUUCCAAUGUGUAUACAUCACUGGACCUGUGUUGCUGGUGAUACUGUAGUAUGUGCUUCUCCUGUUCAGGGUAGAACUGCCUUGUUGUCUGUCAAUUUGAAGAAUCACAAUACAGACUCAGAAAAAGUACUGGGAAGAUUGAUAUCAAUGUUGAAGGCUUCUUUGUUAAACAUGUGUACAAACAAUGAUGGUGAUAUUGUGGCUUUACAACUUACUGACGGUCUUGUGUUAAAAUAUAUCCUUGAUACUGAGGUCAUCACUCCUUGGGCUACAGACCAAGGUGAUUUGCAGUUUCCACAACCCUGUAGUACCAUGGCAGUUUGUAAAGUAGCAGGAAAGGACCGAGUGUUGGGUCUAACUGAGAGGUUUUAUUUCUACUGUGACAAUGUUCAACUUUCCAGCAGCUGCACUUCAUUUUGUUGUAAUAGAGAUUUCUUAUUUAUAACCACACAUGACCAUACCCUGAGAAGUCUGAGUCUUAGCCACGAACUACCUCAAAUCAUGGAAGGUAGUUUAGUACAUGACAAUAAAGAUAACAUUCGGCAUUUAGAGAGAGGAUCAAGAAUUGUUGUGACAGUGCCAUAUGAUACAAAAGUGAUAUUACAAAUGCCACGUGGAAAUAUUGAGUGCAUCCAUCCUCGUAGCCUUGUUUUAGCUAAAAUUCUUAGUCUCCUAGACAAGUACUGUUCAUACGGAAAAUCAGAAGAUAAAUUGAAGCAUGGCAAGCAAAAAAAAUUAAAAUACUUGUUAGGAGUUUUAACUGCACAUGUCAAGAAAAAGCAACCUGAACUUGAAGAUGCUUUGGUGAAGAUAAAAAAGCUCAAAGCUUACUUUCAGACUCAACUUCAAACUGUGAAAUUACUCCUCUUGUUUCUGCUGAUGAAGCAUUAAAGUACCUGUUAUACAUGGUGAAUGUAAAUAAACUGUUUGAUGUUGCUCUUGGUACAUACAGCUUUGAUAUGGUCCUAAUGGUGGCUGAAAAAACCCAGAAGGAUCCGAAAGAAUACUUACCGUUUUUAAAUGAGCUACAACAACUGGACCCUACUUAUCAAAAGUAUAAAAUUGACUUACAUCUUUGUCGAUUUAGAAAAUCACUCCAUCAUUUAUGUAAAUGUG